rnacentral:rRNA from 1 species
UACGAAGGGUGCAAGCGUUAAUCGGAAUUACUGGGCGUAAAGGGCUCGUAGGCGGCCAACUAAGUCGGAUGUGAAAUCCCCAGGCUUAACCUGGGAACUGCAUCCGAUACUGGAUGGCUUGAAUCCGGGAGAGGGAUGCAGAAUUCCAGGUGUAGCGGUGAAAUGCGUAGAUAUCUGGAGGAAUACCGGUGGCGAAGGCGGCAUCCUGGACCGGCAUUGACGCUGAGGAGCGAAAGCUAGGGGAGCAAACGGG